UAUCCCAUUCCAGGUUUAUGGACCCACUUACUGCACCAUAGGAGGGAAAGGAAAUGAUUUGAAGGUAGGAAGACACAGGGAUCUUGCUUAUAGAGCAGCAUGUCGAAUUAUUCUAACAUAAGAAAUCACAACUGCUUGAUCAUGGACCUCACAUCACAGAAACCCAGCCACAGGAUUGAUUGGCUGAGUAUGGGAACCUGGCAGAGGCAGCCACCUAACCACAAAUCCUAUUCUUGUGUAUAUGUGUGAUUUGAGUCCUGGUGGGUAAGGAAC